UUUUCUUUAGUCCCGUGACUUGAUAUGGUAUUGUGUUGUUUAUUGUUACAUUACUUAAUAUAGAUAUUGUCAUCUCCUUCUAUCUUUUUUCCUUGUGUGGAUAACAUGUUCCCCAUAGGAUUUCUUUGGUUAAUUCUUGGUUAAGAUUGAACCAAAAGUAAACUAUAGGUUUUUUAACCAAGCAUGACAAUAUUAGGUAGACCCCUUGAUCCUUAAUCAUAGGUCAAUCUUUGCAUGCUAAUUUAGAUAGAUGUUUCCCU
rnacentral:lncRNA from 1 species